AAAGUGGCGAACGGCUGAGUAACACGUGGGCAACCUGCCCUUUGCACUGGGAUAGCCUCGGGAAACCGAGGUUAAUACCGGAUACUCCAUAUUUGUCGCAUGGCGAAUAUGGGAAAGCUCCGGCGGCAAAGGAUGGGCCCGCGGCCUGUUAGCUAGUUGGUGGGGUAGUGGCCUACCAAGGCAAUGAUGGGUAGCCGGGUUGAGAGACCGACCGGCCAGAUUGGGACUGAGACACGGCCCAGACUCCUACGGGAGGCAGCAGU
rnacentral:rRNA from 1 species